rnacentral:rRNA from 1 species
UACGUAGGGUCCGAGCGUUGUCCGGAAUUACUGGGCGUAAAGAGCUCGUAGGUGGUUUGUCGCGUUGUUCGUGAAAACUCACAGCUCAACUGUGGGCGUGCGGGCGAUACGGGCAGACUAGAGUACUGCAGGGGAGACUGGAAUUCCAGGUGUAGCGGUGAAAUGCGUAGAUAUCUGGAGGAACACCGGUGGCGAAGGCGGCGUCCUGGACCAACACUGACACUGAUGAGCGAAAGCCAGGGGAGCAAACGGG